UUCCCUUUCUGGUUUGGGGACUGAGUGUGAGGUCAGUAAUAUUUCUUCAUGCUACUUUUGGGAUAAAUUCAAUUUGCCACACUUGGGGACCAACUGUGGGAUACAGGCGAUUUGUCUCAAAACAACUGGUUAAUUGGAUUGCUGGCGCAUGGAGAAGGUUGGCACAACAAUCACCAUGCAUUUGAACACUCAGCUCGGCACGGCCUAGAGUGGUGGCAAAUUGAUACUACUUGGUACGUAAUAAGAUUUCUUAAAGCUGUUGGAUUAGCAACGGACGUAAAGCUUCCUACUGAGACUUAGAAGAAUUGAAGAGCUAUAAUG